rnacentral:rRNA from 1 species
UACGGAGGGGGCUAGCGUUGUUCGGAAUUACUGGGCGUAAAGCGCGCGUAGGCGGACCUGCAAGUCGGGGGUGAAAGCCCGAGGCUCAACCUCGGAACUGCCUUCGAUACUGCGGGUCUCGAGUCCGGGAGAGGUGAGUGGAAUUCCUAGUGUAGAGGUGAAAUUCGUAGAUAUUAGGAAGAACACCAGUGGCGAAGGCGGCUCACUGGCCCGGUACUGACGCUGAGGCGCGAAAGCGUGGGGAGCAACAGG